GCGUUGUCCGGAAUUAUUGGGCGUAAAGAGCUCGUAGGCGGCUUGUCGCGUCGGAUGUGAAAGCCCGGGGCUUAACUCCGGGUCUGCAUUCGAUACGGGCAGGCUAGAGUGUGGUAGGGGAGAUCGGAAUUCCUGGUGUAGCGGUGAAAUGCGCAGAUAUCAGGAGGAACACCGGUGGCGAAGGCGGAUCUCUGGGCCAUUACUGACGCUGAGGAGCGAAAGCGUGGGGAGCGAACAGG
rnacentral:rRNA from 1 species